UAAUACGGAAGGGGCAAGCGUUGUUCGGAAUCAUUGGGCGUAAAGGGCGCGUAGGCGGUCUUGUUUGUCUGCUGUGAAAGUCCACGGCUCACCCGUGGAGAGUCGGUGGAAACGGCAAGACUUGAGGCUGGGAGGGGUUGGUGGAAUUCCCUGUGUAGCGGUGAAAUGCGUAGAUACGGGGGAGAACACUCGUGGCGAAGGCGGCCAGCUGGCCCAGUCCUGACGCUGAGGCGCGACAGCGUGGGGAGCAAACAGGAUUAGAUACCCUGGUAGUCCACGCCGUAAACGAUGGGCACUAGGUGUCGGCGGUUUUGAGUCCGUCGGUGCCGGCGCUAACGCAGUAAGUGCCCCGCCUGGGGAGUACGGUCGCAAGGCUG
rnacentral:rRNA from 1 species